rnacentral:ncRNA from 1 species
AGUCCCGGUGCGGCGCGACGUAAAGGCUUUAAGGACCCGGGGAAGUACCUCACCCAACCCCACCGGCCUCCCGGGCGUCCCGCCACCCACACGGGUGACGUGCGCCAACUCAGCUGGAUUUCCGGGAGGUUGAUGGGCAUAUGCUCGCCGCGUCACGUGCACAAGUGCACACAUGCUUCGGCCCCCGGCCGGGACUGGCAUCCCGAACGAGGGCCUAACCAACAAGGAAGAAAGCACCUUCCCG